CCUACGGGAUGCACCAGUGGGGAAUUUUGGACAAUGGGCGAAAGCCUGAUCCAUCAAUGCCGCGUGCAGGAUGAAGGCCCUCGGGUUGUAAACUGCUUUUGUACGGAACGAAAAGCCUGGGGCUAAUAUCCUCGGGUCAUGACGGUACCGUAAGAAUAAGCACCGGCUAACUACGUGCCAGCAGCCGCGGUAAUACGUAGGGUGCAAGCGUUAAUCGGAAUUACUGGGCGUAAAGCGCGCGCAGGCGGUUUUGUAAGACAGUGGUGAAAUCCCCAGGCUCAACCUGGGAACUGCCAUUGUGACUGCAAGGCUAGAGUGCGGCAGAGGGGGAUGGAAUUCCGCGUGUAGCAGAAAAAUGCGUAGAUAUGCGGAGGAACACCGAUGGCGAAGGCAAUCCCCUGGGCCUGCACUGACGCUCAUGCACGAAAGCGUGGGGAGCAAACAGGAUUAGAUACCCCCGUAGUC
rnacentral:rRNA from 1 species